rnacentral:rRNA from 1 species
UACGUAGGGGGCAAGCGUUGUCCGGAUUUAUUGGGCGUAAAGAGCGUGUAGGCGGCCUGAAAGGUCAGCUGUGAAAACUCGAGGCUCAACCUCGAGACGUCGGUUGAAACCAUCUGGCUAGAGUCCGGAAGAGGAGUGUGGAAUUCCAGGUGUAGCGGUGAAAUGCGUAGAUAUCUGGAGGAACACCGGUGGCGAAGGCGGCAUCCUGGACCAACACUGACGCUGAGGAGCGAAAGCCAGGGGAGCAAACGGG